GACGAACGCUGGCGGCGUGCCUAAUACAUGCAAGUAGAACGCACAGUUUAUACCGUAGCUUGCUACACCAUAGACUGUGAGUUGCGAACGGGUGAGUAACGCGUAGGUAACCUGCCUGGUAGCGGGGGAUAACUAUUGGAAACGAUAGCUAAUACCGCAUAAUAUUAAUUAUUGCAUGAUAAUUAAUUGAAAGGUGCAAUUGCACCACUACCAGAUGGACCUGCGUUGUAUUAGCUAGUAGGUGAGGUAACGGCUCACCUAGGCGACGAUACAUAGCCGACCUGAGAGGGUGAUCGGCCACACUGGGACUGAGACACGGCCCAGACUCCUACGGGAGGCAGCAGUAGGGAAUCUUCGGCAAUGGACGAAAGUCUGACCGAGCAACGCCGCGUGAGUGAAGAAGGUUUUCGGAUCGUAAAGCUCUGUUGUAAGAGAAGAACGGGUGUGAGAGUGGAAAGUUCACACUGUGACGGUAUCAUACCAGAAAGGGACGGCUAACUACGUG
rnacentral:rRNA from 1 species